rnacentral:tRNA from 6 species
GGGGAUGUGGCGGAAUUGGUAGACGCACUGUGUUCAGGUCGCAGCGCCGCAAGGUGUAAGAGUUCGAGUCUCUUCAUCCCCACCA